AUAUUGGAAGCCGGGAGUCUCUGCCUGCCAGGUCAGCGCUUCCAAGUCGGUGACAAGUGAAGUUCAGGACAGCAAAGGAGUUAGAGCCAACAGCGGCCGGAGCUGCCAGCCAUUUGAAACUGAACCACCACAGAAGGGGAAGCAGAGGGUGAAGGCCAG